AGACAAGCUGCCUUCCAGCCACAAUCCCUCACCAUGGCUGAUGCAGUGGUAACCUCCAUAGAUGGCAGCCAGCAGCAGAACCACAGUGGGACCUGCAGUGAUACGAGGGCUGGCACUUUGGAUUGCAACAUGACUGAAAGGAAAAGCGUGAAGGCUACAGGAAUUUCUGCUCUAUGGAAAAAUGUUAUUUUUGGAGUCUUCGGGAAGGCGUGCAUAUAAACCCCCGGUUCCCUGGUAUCUGCUCCAGCCAGUGCUCCAUCCUCUUAUUCUCAUCCCACAUUAUGCCUGGAUAGCCUGAUGGGCCAUGGGAAGCCUUCUGCUGUUUCCAGACAUCGGGGCAGUUUUGCAUCCCUGUGCCAGGUCUGUGUCCAUGUACUGGUGGCUGGGAUGGCUGCCCAGCAGGGAGACGUCCUGCUGGCUCCCAGGCUGCCUUAGGGAAGAAGCUGCUGCUUCUGAUCAUCUCUGAGACACUGGAGCCAGCAGUUUCCUGGACAGAGAUGUCUUCUCAGCACAAUUUAAGGAGUCUCAGAGGCUGCACCAUCCUUGGGCCGGCUGAAUGUGACUUCUCCUCCCCAUCCACUUCAUCUUGCACCAGUACCUGCUUGUGAGAACCCUGGGAGCCAACCACUGUGCUGACAUUGGAUCAUAAUGGACCA